GAGUUUGAUCGUGGCUCAGAGUGAACGCUGGCGGUAGGCCUAACACAUGCAAGUCGAACGGCAGCACAGAGGAGCUUGCUCCUUGGGUGGCGAGUGGCGGACGGGUGAGGAAUACAUCGGAAUCUACUCUGUCGUGGGGGAUAACGUAGGGAAACUUACGCUAAUACCGCAUACGACCUACGGGGUGAAAGCAGGGGAUCUUCGGACCUUGCGCGAUUGAAUGAGCCGAUGUCAGAUUAGCUAGUUGGCGGGGUAAAGGCCACCAAGGCGACGAUCCGUAGCUGGUCUGAGAGGAUGAUCAGCCACACUGGAACUGAGACACGGUCCAGACUCCUACGGGAGGCAGCAGUGGGGAAUAUUGGACAAUGGGCGCAAGCCUGAUCCAGCCAUACCGCGUGGGUGAAGAAGGCCUCGGUUGUAAGCCUUUCGUUGGUAAGAAGUACAG
rnacentral:rRNA from 1 species